rnacentral:rRNA from 1 species
AUUGAACGCUGGCGGCAUGCCUUACACAUGCAAGUCGAACGGCAGCACGGGUGCUUGCACCUGGUGGCGAGUGGCGAACGGGUGAGUAAUACAUCGGAACAUGUCCUGUAGUGGGGGAUAGCCCGGCGAAAGCCGGAUUAAUACCGCAUACGAUCUACGGAUGAAAGCGGGGGACCUUCGGGCCUCGCGCUAUAGGGUUGGCCGAUGGCUGAUUAGCUAGUUGGUGGGGUAAAGGCCUACCAAGGCGACGAUCAGUAGCUGGUCUGAGAGGACGACCAGCCACCCUGGAACUGGGCCACGCCCCAGACUCCUACGGGAGGCAGCAUUGGGAAUUUUGGACAAUGGGCGAAAGCCUGAUCCAGCAAUGCCGCGUGUGUGAAGAAGGCCUUCGGGUUGUAAAGCACUUUUGUCCGGAAAGAAAUCCUUGGCCCUAAUACGGUCGGGGGAUGACGGUACCGGAAGAAUAAGCACCGGCUAACUACGUG